rnacentral:siRNA from 1 species
AUGGGCAAGUCCAUGGUC